rnacentral:ncRNA from 2 species
AACGCACCUUGCGCUCCUUGGUAUUCCGAGGAGCAUGCCUGUUUGAGUGUCAUGGAAUUCUCAACCCUCUUAUCUUUGUUAUGAGAUGGGCUUGGACUUGGAGGUUAUUGCCGGCUUGUCAUGAGUCUGGCUCCUCUUGAAUUCAUUAGCUUGAACCCUUGUGGAUCGGCUACUCGGUGUGAUAAUUGUCUACGCCGUGUGCUGUGAAGCUUUCAAACACUUUGUUGUGUUGAGGGAUUUGCUUCUAAUCGUCCUUCAAUGGACAAUUUUUGACCUCUGACCUCAAAUCAGGUAGGAUUACCCGCUGAACUUAA